rnacentral:ncRNA from 1 species
AGAACUAAUACUCCGAGCAAUCAAAUGAUAAGGUAACGCUUUGAAGGAUUGCCAUUAAUACUACGAUAUGCAAUGGAUUAAGUUAUUAUGAGAUUGUAUAAAGCUCGUUGAAGUCGGCAGAAAAGUUACCCUAACGAGUUAAGUCGAGGAAAGGUUUCAUUAACUGUAAUUGAUAUGUCGGAUGUCUAAG